rnacentral:rRNA from 1 species
UACGGAGGGUGCAAGCAUUAAUCGGAGUUACUGGGCGUAAAGGGCGCGUAGGCGGUUUUAAGGGUGUGAUGUGAAAGCCCUGGGCUUAACCUGGGAAGUGCAUCGCAAACCGUAAGACUGGAGUACAAGAGAGGGUGGCGGAAUUUCCGGUGUAGCGGUGAAAUGCGUAGAGAUCGGAAGGAACGUCAAUGGCGAAGGCAGCCACCUGGCUUGAUACUGACGCUGAGGCGCGAAAGCGUGGGGAGCGAACAGG